rnacentral:rRNA from 1 species
GACGAACGCUGGCGGCGUGCUUAACACAUGCAAGUCGAACGAAGUGGCGAACGGUUGAGUAAUACGUGGGUAACCUGCCCUCCUUUUUGGGAUAAGCCUUGGAAACGGGGUCUAAUACCGACUACAGGGGGAUGGGCUCGCGGCCUAUCGGCUUGUUGGUGGGGUGAUGGCCUACCAAGGCGGUGCCGGGUAGCCGGCCUGAGAGGGUGACCGGGGACAGUGGGACGGAGAUACGGCCCAGGCUAGUAAGGGGGGGAGAAGUGGGGGAUAUGGAACAAUGGGUGAAGGACUGAUGCAGCGAGGGCGAGGGGGGGAUGAAGGUUUUAGGGUUGUAAAACUCGUGAGGUAGCGAAAGGGUAGGUGGAGAAGAAGCGCCGGCUAACUACGUGCCAGCAGCCGCGGUAAUUC